UCUAGAACUCGAGAUAUGGACUAAACACUAAACAAUAUAUGGGCUGCACGACAAAUUCAGACUUCUCUUUUGUUUCUAAGAUUUGAACUUGAAAACAACAUAUUUGAAUCUUGGACUCUUCAUGGAUGUUUUAGGCCUAUGUAUUAGCUUUCCAUC
rfam:Populus trichocarpa isolate Nisqually-1 chromosome 1, whole genome shotgun sequence.